GAAACAUAUUCGGGGCGAACCGGGAUUCGAACCCACAAUCAUAGGUUUCUGACGUGCCCAAGGGACGCAACUCUGCACAGCGAGUUGCGGCGCCUUAGACGACUGGGCCACCCGCGCCCUGAAACAUGUGUCGCUUGAGAUGUGACCUGCCUCCUCAAAUAGCUGACAGAUAUACUUCUGGUCCCAAUUUAUUUUCAUUUUAGUUCUGUAAUUGAGGUCAUAAAUGAGUUUCUCAUUUUUGUUGAGACCACCUUUUUGGCUAAUAUCAAUACAUUGUUGCACCUCAUCUUAAAUAAUGAGUCAACAAUCACAACAACGAUGACUGUAGUUGAAAACGUGAUAUCUGACUCCUCAGCCCAACUGGCAUUACCAUGACAGCAGUAAACACAUGUACAUGACAUCACAAUCACAAGGAACAGAUAUACAUACCGUAACUAAGGAUACAUGAUCAUUCUAUCUACACUGUGUGAGAUGGACAAACUGUCUGUUUACAAAGGGGCAUAACUCUUGUGGCCCUUCUUCAAAAUUAAGCUGAUCACAAACUAUACAAAUAUUUACACAUAUUCCAUUAUAACAAAGUUCCAUUCUUCACUAUGAUGAACACUUCACAUGUAUCUAUCUCUAUUAACACAAGAAUAGUUCAGGCCAUACUAAUGUGGGUUUUCUCCUCCUUGUAUGAGGAAGGUACAAUGUACUUGGACAACUUCCUCAUCUCUGGCUGACGGAUAAACACACAUUGUCUCAAUGUCAUCGUCAUCUGGCCACAAAAUAGACCCGGGUUCGAUUGCUGCAUGGGUACAAUGUGUGAAGCCCCUUUCUAGUGUCCCCUGCAGUGAUAUUGAUGGAAUAUUGCUAAAAGUGGCGUAAAACCAAACUCACACUCUCUUCCACCUCACUGUCCAUCCAUAGCCAGGAAUACGUUUGCUUGAUCUUUUUCCAGUGUCUUUGCAGAUUCCAAGUGACCACCAGUUUCAGCGCUGUGUACAUUCUACAAAAUCUUUUCUACAAGACCUCCAUAUGAACAAUCAACUUUCUAUUCUCUGUCUUGUCUGAGUGCACAUACAGGAGUGGAGCUAUAAUUUCUGCCAAAUGUUUCUUGGUAUGAUGCAAAACCCAAGAAUCGAAGGACUUCAUUUACUGUUGAAGGUGUUGGCCAUUCACGAACAACUCUAGUUUUCUCCGGAUCUGUUUCAACACCAUUUUGAGAUAUAAUGUGCCCCAGACAUGAAACGCACAUCUUCAUGAAAUGACACUUUCCAGGGUUUAAUCCCAAACCAGCUUCUCGAAGACCAUCCAAUACAGUUUGACGCACAAAAGGAAUAACUGUGGACCUUUUCGGUGGACAGAGCCAGAUUAUGUUUACCAAAUAUUAACACAAUCUUUCAUUGUCAUACUGAACUGGUAUCAAGAUUUCACCAGUACGCCACCCACCUUCCACGAGGACACAUACACAGUAGGCAUCGCCGGUGUUGAAGUCAUGCCGAGAAGGGGUCAUGUGCCAUUCCUCAUCGCUGUGGGGACUGGACUCCUUGUCUUCACUACCAUCCUGAAUGUAAACUUUAAAAACUACAAUUAUUUUCGUUUUCUCUGCCAAAAUGGUUCACAGAUCGAGUGCAAAAACGUUUUGGACGAAAUGGUGCGAGGAGCGUGGACACCGAGGAGGGCGACGUUUGAAGAAAGAGAGAAAGUUGAAAAAUUCUUGAUAGCUUCAAGAGGAAAGUAUUUUGUACCAACAACCUUGGCACGUCCCGAUGGUGUUUGUGGAAAUACAACUUUUGACUUUCUGAAAGGCCUACAACACCAGGCUCUGUGGUUCCGACCCCUGUGCGAUCCGUUUGGUCCAACACCAUGUUGCUAUAACAACAAAUGCGUGUAUAAGACAAUGAAGGAAUGUAUGUGUGAGAACUGUUUUGACAUGCGCAGGCCUAUUAAUGCUGAACUUACUGAUUGGAAACCAUCCAGCCCCAAUUGUCAGAUCUCAAUGUUGAACAAAGAUGAAGCGUGUGAACUUAUUAAAGGGGCUACUAUCUACUACAUCGGGGACUCGUUCUUGAGGCAGAUGUACACAGUGACUGUCCAAAUCCUCACUGACAACUAUAAGGACUCCACGCUAAAGUCUACAACACCAACAGGGUGGCGGGAGUACUGUUCAGGCUGGAUGCAGCUGCUGUGCGACUCCUACUUAAACUACGCCGCUCCCGUGUGUGGCGGCCAGACCAACGUCAUCCAUGUUCAACUCAUCACACAAAAUCAAGGCCCAAGAUUACUCAGCUUACUGAAAAGUAAAAAGAACCAGAAGUCUAUUUUCUUUGUGGGCAUUGGUAUCCACGGGACCUAUAAUGAACAACUGGUCUGGAAGAACUUUCUUUCUCCAUCAAUCAACCUUCUACACGAAUACGCAAAAAAUAAGACAGUAUGGCCGAAACUGGUGUGGGUUUCCCCCCACGCUCCCGGAAUACUGAAAACCCCACGGGUUCCAGGCCAGAGUUACAGCAGCGUUGUCAGAUAUAACGCCUUCAUCAACAGCCAUGUCAGAGCAGCUGGGAUACCAAUACUGGACACCUUCAACAUGACAGACGGCAUCAUGAGCUACGAUGGGGCACACUACGGGUUCGGAAUUAACAUGAUCAAAUCUCAGAUUGUGUUUAACUACCUUACACAUCUGCGGGCACAUGGCAUAUGGUGACUCAGCAUGAGAAAGUUUGCUACACGCUCAUACGGUGGGACUGUGAGGGGGUUAAUGCCUCCAACUAGUGUUACACAAGAGAGGUGAGGCUGUUACUACAUCAGUGAACUCCUCUGUCGUUCAAGAGUGUUUACCUGAGCGUUCACCUACACUGUCCAGCGCCUCAUCCGCUCGCAAGUAACGGCUGAAACAGGUGACCUAGUACGUGUGGCCCUGCCUGGUGUUGGAGACGCACCCAAAUGUCGCGACAAACAUUUGACUUGAUGGACUCCUCCCAGAUGGGCUCCUCGGGGCUUCUGGUGGGAGAGGUGCAUUCAAGGAGCAGUGCAAAGAGGAAAAUCCUUCUCGUGACGCUGGGUGUGUGUGUGGUGACGGGAUGUAUCGUUGGACUGGUGUUCGGCCUGAGGCCUCAGCCCGGUGCUCCAGACAUGGCUUCCAGCAAACCGCCUGCGAAACAGACUUGGAUGUCUCAGUCAUGUCUGGGCGGAAACAAACAGUCACAGUGCCCUUGGCGUGACAAGUCCAGCUCUCCGCUGCUUGUGUUAGCGCUUGACGGCUUCCGUGCUGACUACAUAGACCGUGACGUGACACCAACCAUCCAGCACCUGAUAGAGUGUGGGGUGCACACCCCGGGUAUGAGGCCCGUAUACCCGAGUCUUACCUUUCCCAAUGACCAGACUAUUGUCACGGGUUUGUAUCCUGAAUCUCACGGCAUUGUCGACAACAACAUCUACGACGGUGACAUCGGUGACGAAUUCAAGAUAAAGACAAAGAGUAAAGACAAGCCAGCUUGGUGGGGCGGAGAGCCAAUCUGGGUGACGGCAAAGAAACAAGGAAAGCGUUCUGCCACUUUCAUCUGGCCUAUGGCGUCGGCCAUAAACAUCUCAGGAAUUGUUCCAGAUAUUCAGCAACUAUUUGAUCCCACUAUCCCGAACGCGAAGCGUAUUGACACAGCCCUAGGAUGGCUCACGCUGCCGGAGGGGGAGCGACCAGACUUCCUCACUGUCUACAUCGAUGAUCCGGACAAGAUAGGGCAUAAACAUGGGCCUAACAGCACACAGAUGACGUCCAAGCUGAAGGAGAUGGACGAACUUUUGCGACGGCUUAUGGAGGGUCUGUAUGAGAGGGGUCUGCAUGAAUGUGUCAACAUAAUGAUUAUCGCUGAUCAUGGUAUGACGUCCACGUCGUGUGGGCGAAAAAUGUACUUGGACUGCUACACCGAUGUGGACAACGUCCUCAUCUUCGACGGAGUAAUCGGCAGGAUCAGCACAGAAUAUCGGCGUGAGAAGGGCAGCACGGACAUUGUCAGGAACACAGAAGCUCCAUCCCCGUCAACAAUAGUGUCUGACUUGGAGUGCCGGACAGAGCACUUCAAGGUUUUCACCCGCGACACGCUGCCUGCCAGAUUCCACUACAGCAACAACGAACGUAUUGGAGACGUGGUGGUUGACGUCGAGGAGGGAUGGCUCGUCUACAAAAAACAGAGGAACUAUUGCCCUAAGGGAAGCCAUGGGUACGACAAUAGGUUGAAGAGCAUGCAGGCAUUGUUUGUCGGCUUCGGGCCAUCAUUCAAGCAGAACGAAGUGGUGGCUCCAUUUGAGAACAUAGAACUCUACAACCUCAUGUGUGAUGUUCUGGGCAUAACACCCGCCCCAAACAACGGGACAGAGGGAGGUCUCCACCACCUACUCAAGUCUCCCCCGUCCCUGAAGAAGAACACAUUCUCGACAACAAGUUAUCUCCCUUGUCACCGGCCAGAGGGCUUGUGGAGUGAGCUUCAGAACUGUACCUGUACCAGCUCGGAGCAGCAGCAGUUCGUUAUGGACACAGUAGGAGAACAAGCCACACCUGGCCUGCCGCCCCCGACCCUCCACAUCAGUGACGACAUGUGUAUCCUACGGCAGACCCACCACAUUGUCGGCUUCAGCCACACCCUGCGCAUGCCCAGAUGGGUGGCCACAACAUGCAGCCAACAGAUGCUAUUCCCCGACACAACUGGGAGAGUGUGUGUGAUACCAGACGGUCGCCUCACCGCUAGGGACAGAACAACGUGGGCAGGGCUGCAGACCGGGAACAUCACCCACGGCAAUCUUCUCCCAGGGAACUACUACCAAGACGCCUGUGGUGAUCUCGCCCUGUCGUCGACACUAGUCCCCAUGUAUGAUGGCUUCAGAGCAGGUAUCUGGCAGUUUGUAUGGGAGCUGAUUUACAACAACGCUGAUGGAGCUGUCGCUGUCAUUGCUGGCCCCGUGUUUGAUGAUGACCACGACGGACGGGUUGAUACGGAUGACACCAAGAUGAGAUAUGCCGACACCGCGAGGACUGCUGCACUGCCGUCUCACUUCUUCCUGAUCCUGGCCAGGUGUAGGGAGUCGUCGCAGACGCUGCCGUGCGGUGGAAAUGUUGACACUCUCUCCUUCGUUCUGCCGCACACACAGCGAGUACCCAACUGUCUUGACUACAACAGCUACCUGGCUGACAACCUUGUCCGUAUCCGAGACAUUGAGCUCCUGACAGGGCUACAUUUUCUGGACGAAUACCCCUACCUUUCCCACAUCGGUAUCCGCCUCCACCUGGCAACAGCGCUGUGGCCGAGUACACUGAAGACUCGGGGUGAGGAACCACGUGCCGCUCGUGCCCCACAGCAAUGGCUUGACUGGGCGUGCCCCACGGAGGGCGGCUCCUGCCAGUCAGACUACAAGCCUGUCCUCCUCAUCUCCCUUGAUGGCUUCAGGGCAGAUUAUCUGUCAAGGAACGUAACUCCUGUUAUCCAUAAGCUUAUCGAGCACGGAGUUCAUGCCCCUUACAUGAGGCCCGUGUACCCGACCUACACCUUCCCUAACCACUACACAAUCGCUACGGGUUUAUACCCCGAAUCACAUGGCAUCAUCGACAACAAGAUGUUCGACAUAGCGAUGAACAAGAGUUUCUCCAUCGGGAGUCGCUCCAGUUCCGACUCCAGAUGGUGGGGUGGCGAGCCGAUGUGGCUCACGUCUAAGCGUCAAGGAAAGAAAAGUGCAACCUAUUUCUGGGUAGGAUCCGAUCUUGAAAUAGCAGGUGACAGACCAAACUACUACAAACCCUACGCAAAUGAUGUCCCGUUUGAGGAUCGAGUGAACACCGUUGUGGAUUGGUUGUCUCUUCCUCCUGACUCUCGGCCGGAAUUUCUCACCCUGUACUUCAACCAGCCAGACAGCGCAGGCCACCAAUACGGGCCAAACUCAGACAAUCUGGAUCCUGUGUUGAGAGAUGUAGAUGACAUGAUCGGGUUGCUGAUGCAGAAACUUUACAAGAGGAACUUACACAACUGUGUCAACAUAAUCCUGUUGGCUGAUCAUGGAAUGACUCCCAGGUCAUGUGACCGGGCAGUGGCGCUGAAUGAUGUUCUGUUCGAGGAUGAACUGAGCCACGUGACUGCUUACACCGCCAUGUUUGGUCGUAUCAGCAACAAGUACUCCAAGAAGGGGAGCCAGUACACAGUGUAUGACACGCCUCUAGUGUCUGAAUCUUCCAUCCUGGAGCGACUGCAGUGUCUCUCCCCGCACAUGCGCACAUACAGGAAGGCCGACCUACCCAAGAGACAUCACUAUGCCAACAAUGACCGCAUUGAUAACAUUAUAAUGGAUCUCGACAACGAAUGGAUUGUCACUAAAACACGGAACCCGACAUCAGGCUGCAGUGGAGGCAGCCAUGGGGAAGAUAACAUCUACGCCAGUGAGGGGGCUCUGUUUGUUGCUCAUGGUCCUGCCUUCAAGAAGGGGCUCGAGAUAGAGCCGUUUGAGAACAUCGAAGUUUACAAUCUCAUAGCUGACGUGCUCAACAUCACACCUGCUCCCAACAACGGCACCCGUGGAGCUCUGUUCCAUGUAUUGACUAACCCCCCCAGGCUGGAGGCUGAACCCAGCACAAGCUACACGGAUUGCACCGCCACCUCCCAGACUGUCCUCCAGCAAACUGUCAGUCAACACUGUGGCUGCUCUAAUCAGUCGGAUAUGAUGACCACCAGCUUCAUUGACGUCCCCACCACGUCUGAGGUGUCGAUACAGUGUCAGGUACAUUAUGGCAGUCAGACGUCCGUCUUCAACUCAGACCGGGGCAUGCCAGGGUGGACGACGGUCUACCUCAACAAACAGAAGCGUGUGGAGGCGAGCAGCGAGUGUAUUGUUCCAGAUCCAAGUCUCCACCCACAAGACAGAGCCAGGUACAAGCAGUACACCAGUCCACAGCGCGGCAUCACAGCGACCGGCAUGGUCCCAGCCCGGUUUAGUAGCUGCGGUCGGGUCAGUCUGUCCUCGUCGGUGGUGCCCAUGUUCACAGGUUUCAAACAAGGUUUGUGGGCGUAUGCCUGGCGGGUGGUGGAGACGUACCUGGCCGGGGAUGUGGAGGUGCAGGUGACGGCGGGGCCCAUCUGGGACUACAACAGUGACGGCCUGUACGACACUCCCACCAAUAAGACAAGGGAAGAUGGCAGUGGUAUAAGUAUCCCGACUCACUUCUUCUUAGUGAUCUAUAAGUGUGGCAGAUCCGGCGACAGAUUCCCCUGUGGCGAAAAAGUGGACAUUCUACCUUUCAUCCUGCCCCACACCCCGACACUGGUCACCUGUGAGUCACCAGCUCACUACAUGAGAGAGAACAUGGCCCGUCUCCGAGACAUUGAGCUUCUUACAGCCCUGAGGUUCUUCCCUGACCUUGAUCUUGCCAAAGCCGCCUCACUGCGCACCUUCCUGCCAAGCGAGUGGGAGAGUCCACUCACGGCCCCCACGCAGACGGGAUCCUGGAUGCACCACACAUGUAAAGAUGAACCACAGCAACACUGUACCACAGAUUACAAACCCCUACUGCUCAUCUCUGUGGACGGGUUCCGGGCCGACUACUUACAGGACUACAACGUUACCCCUGUCAUCAAACGCCUGUCAGAGUGUGGAGUCCGCACACCCUUCAUGAGAUCUGUCUACCCCACCAAGACCUUUCCCAACCACUACACUAUCGUCACAGGUCUGUACCCCGAAUCCCAUGGCAUCAUUGAUAACAAUAUGUAUGACUCUGAACUGCAUCAGAAGUUUGGCCUUAAACUGGAUUCCAAGGAGGAUCCAAGAUGGUGGCAGGGAGAACCAAUCUGGGAGACAGUCAUGAAGUCAGGCAAGAAAGCAGCAUCCAUUUUAUGGCCCGGGUCAGAUGUCAAAGCACAUUCCCCCAACUACUUCAAGAGAUACCUGAAAGGCGAUGUGGCCUACAGUGACCGGAUAGACCAGCUGCUGUACUGGUUGACGCGCCCCGCGGACCGCCGCCCGGCCUUCCUCACCCUCUACUUGGAUGAACCCGACCACACCGCGCACGAUGACGGGCCAGUCUCGCCCAGGGUGAUGGAUAAACUGAAGGAGGUGGACGCCCUGAUUGGUCAGCUGAUGGAUAAGCUGUUCCAGCAGAACCUCCACAACUGUGUCAACAUCGUCCUUCUGGCGGACCAUGGUAUGACCAGUAAGAGCUGUUCGCGGAUGGUGAGCCUGAAGUCGUAUUUCACACGAUCCCAACUGAGAAAGCUGUUUGUGUAUGAUGGAGCAGCAGGCCGGAUCAGCAACAUGUACACCUACGGCAGCUCCAACAACGUCCCCCUCCAGACGCCGCAAGUGAGCAAGGACACCAUUCUGGAGAACCUGCAAUGUAGAAAUUCCCACCUCCGUGUGUACGACAAGAACCAAUUUCCUGUUCGCCAUCACUACGUCAACAACCGUCGCAUUGAUAGUGUCAUCCUCGACUUGGAUGAACGAUGGAUUGUUUCAAGAACCGGGUCCUUCAGCAGCUACUGCAUGGGCGGUGACCACGGCUACGACAAUCUCUACAAGAGCAUGGGGGCCCUGUUCCUGGCCCAUGGCCCUGCCUUCAAGCAACAGUUCUCGGCGGACACAUUUGAAAAUAUAGAAGUUUACAACUUGAUGACAAGUGUACUUGGUGUCACCCCUGCGCCAAAUAACGGCACCCCCGGGGCGCUGAACCAUAUGCUGAAGGACCCCCCUGCAUCUCUGGAAGCUGACCCACCACCACCGGCAUACAGGAACUGUUCUGAUACACAACAAACAUACACAGAACUGUUGCAAGGCACCUGUAACUGCAGCCUCACUGAACAACAGGCUGCCGACAUCUCUACACUGAACACCCCCGCCGUCUCCCCCGCCAUCAUCCCCGCCGUCACCCCCGCCAUCACCUCCGCCGCCUGUCUGCUGCACCAUGGAGACAACAUCGCCGCCUACAGCCACGACCUGCAUUUGCCUCUGUGGGUCGCAGUCACUGUCAAGCAAGAAAAUGCAAACUCCACGCAUUACUCCCAGGAGCCCGUCUGUGUAGUGGCCGACCCUAUGCUGGACGUCAGUGAGAAACGCGUGUACACCAGAUACCAACAUGGCGCAAUCACUGCAGGGAGUCUUGUACCAGGAAGUGAUGCCAGCUGCAGCUCAGCCCAGCUCUCCUCCGUGGUGGUGCCCAUGUACGACACCUUCCGCACAGGAAUCUGGAGGUACAUGUGGCAGUUGGUGACUACUUACGCUGGCCAGUAUGGUGACCUCGGGGUGACGGUGGGGCCGGUGUUUGACGGCAACAGUGACGGCAGAUACGACGGUCAUGAUGGUCUCUCAAGAUAUGUCGAUGACAUUGAAACAGUUCCCUUCCCAACUCACUUCUUUGUGGUGAUUGUGCGAUGUGGGAAUGACAGUUCUCUCCCUUGCACAGACCAGCUGCAGCUGCUUUCAUUCAUUCUCCCACAUGUGAAGGAAUCGCCCAAUUGUUUAGAGAACCAUAUGCAACUUCUGGAGAACACGGCCAGGGUCAAGGACAUUGAGCUGAUAACUGGUUUCCAGUUCUUCACAGAUGUUGACAGAAACAAGGCGGCCCGACUCGCCACCUUCCUGCCAGAUGCAUUAUGGGAUGCUCCUGGGAUAUCUGAACCAGAACCGACUGUUGAGUGGAAGAACCUGCCCUGCCCGGGGGAAGGGAACAAUACGUGCAGUUCAGACUAUAAACCCUUGCUACUGAUCUCCUUUGAUGGCUUCCGUGCCGACUACCUGUCUCGUGGCCUCACUCCAGUACUGCAGCGUCUGGUGGAAUGUGGAAGCCACUCACCCUACAUGAGGCCAUCCUACCCAAGCAAGACCUUCCCGAACCAGUACACUCUAGUCACAGGUCUGUACCCGGAGUCGCACGGCAUCGUGGACAACACCAUGUACGACUUUGACAUGGGGAAGAAAUUUGCCAUGGGAGGAGAACACUCCUCUGACCCAGGCUGGUGGCGUGGGGAGCCGCUAUGGUUGACAGCUCAGAGGCAAGGGAAGAGGUCUGCAACCUACUUCUGGCCAGGGUCGGAUGUACAGAUUGAUGGGUCCUAUCCAGACACAUAUCGCAGAUACGACGGGUCAGUGCCGUUCAGUGACCGCGUGGAGACUGUGGUCAGCUGGUUGACCAGGCCCGCCGCCGAGAGACCGGACUUCAUCACGCUCUACUUUAACCAACCCGACUCUGCUGGACACAGCGAUGGCCCCAGAUCUGACGAGGCAUGGCUCCCCUCCAGUGUGACCGACUCUUCCUUUUGUCCAACUUCUUCUCCAGGGAUGACAUGCGCACCUUCUACGUCUAUGAGGGAGCCUUUUCUCACAUCAGCAACAAGUACAGCUACAGGAAUAGAGACUCCGUCACUCUGGUUACCAACCCCCAGUUUAGCCUGGCGGAGAUUGCCGAUAAUCUCCGCUGUAAUAACAGCCACGUGCAGGUGAUGUACAAGACGGACCUGCCCCGACGCCUCCACUACGCCAACAACGACAGGAUCGAGGGGAUCUACCUUGACGUCGCUGCCAAUUGGACAGCAUCGAGAUACCGCAACAACAGAUAUUGUUCUGGUGGAACUCACGGGUACGACAACGCCUACAGAACCAUGCAUGCACUAUUCUUGGCAUAUGGCCCAGCCUUCAAGAUCAACAAAACCAUCCCUGGCUUUGACAAUAUUGAAGUAUACAAUAUGAUGGCAGACGUGCUGGGGAUAACUGCAGCUCCCAACAACGGUACACAUGGGUCGCUGAAUCCCAUCCUCCUGUCGCCUCCAAACAUCACACGCACCGCAG
rnacentral:misc_RNA from 1 species